rnacentral:rRNA from 1 species
UACGUAGGGUGCGAGCGUUGUCCGGAAUUAUUGGGCGUAAAGAGCUUGUAGGCGGUUUGUCGCGUCUGCUGUGAAAAUCCGGGGCUCAACCACGGACUUGCAGUGGGUACGGGCAGACUAGAGUGUGGUAGGGGAGACUGGAAUUCCUGGUGUAGCGGUGGAAUGCGCAGAUAUCAGGAGGAACACCGAUGGCGAAGGCAGGUCUCUGGGCCACUACUGACGCUGAGAAGCGAAAGCAUGGGGAGCGAACAGG